AUACCCUGGUGGUGCCUUGUGAUUUUGGUGCAACUACCUGGCUUAAAUCUGACGAGGCGCAUGUGGCACCAAAGUGUCCGUCUCUUGACUUCCAGACAUCGGUUUUCCCUUUUUUGUGAUUUAUUAAUGAGAAAAAAGGAAGUCGGGAGGUUUUUAUUUUUCAGUGGAUGAAUAAUUAACCUGACAACUCAAGCCCUUGUGUACAGAGCAGCAAUGAUAUGAGGAGCUGAGCCAAGGCGAGGAGUGCGCCUCCACCACGGCUGGAGAAACUUUAAAAAAAAAACAAAAAAACUGACCUGUAGGUGUUUUGUUUUAGCUUGUCUUUAAUAAUUUUGUGACAUUUGACUUGGACAAACUCCACAGUAAUCAUGCUGGGAGCGGAAAGCAGAGUGGAAAGCCGGCUGAAGAAGCUGGAGUCCAUGGUCAGGAAUCCACAGUCGGCGCUUAAUUUUUCAGCUCUGCUGGAUUCCAUGAAUGCAUUGGCUCAUGAUCUAAAUUACCCUAUCCUGCGAAAGAACAAGAACAUUGAGGCAUUUCUGAACAGAUAUGAGAAGCUGGUGAAUGAGCUGCGAGAGCUCCAGGUAAAGAUUGACGACUUUGAAAAAGUGAAGUUGAUCGGGAGAGGAGCCUACGGCGAAGUGCAGCUGGUCCGUCACAAGGCCUCGAGGAAGGUUUACGCCAUGAAGCAGCUCAGCAAGUUUGAGAUGAUCAAAAGGUCGGAGUCAGCCUUCUUCUGGGAGGAGAGACACAUUAUGGCGUUUUCCAACAGUCCUUGGAUUGUUCAGCUUUGCUGCGCUUUCCAAGAUGAUCAGCACCUCUACAUGGUGAUGGAAUUCAUGCCUGGAGGAGAUUUGGUCACGCUCACCAUAAACUACGACAUCCCUGAAAAGUGGGCUCGCUUCUACACGGCCGAGGUGGUGCUGGCACUGGAUGCCAUCCACUCCAUGGGCUUCAUCCACCGCGACGUUAAACCGGACAACAUGCUACUGGACCAGCACGGACACCUCAAACUAGCCGACUUCGGCACGUGCAUGAGGAUGGACUCGAGCGGUAUGGUGCACUGUGAGACAGCUGUAGGCACACCAGACUACAUUUCCCCCGAGGUGCUGCAGUCUCAGGGUGGCGAUGGAACCUACGGUCGAGAAUGUGACUGGUGGUCUGUUGGAGUUUUUCUCUAUGAGUUGCUAGUUGGUGAAACUCCGUUUUAUGCCGAGUCUCUCAUUGGAACCUAUGGGAAGAUCAUGAACUACCAUAACUCUCUCGUCUUUCCGGACGAUAUGGAGAUGUCUCAGGAUGCCAAAGAUCUCAUCAGUGACUUUCUCACUGACAGGAAGGUUCGACUAGGCCGCACCGGAGUGGAUGAGAUCAAACGUCACCCCUUCUUCAAGAACGACCAGUGGACCUUUGACAACAUCCGUGACACUGUAGCCCCAGUGGUUCCAGAGCUGCACAGUGACAUAGACACCAGUAACUUUGAUGAUAUAGAGGUGGAAAAGGGAAAUGCAGAGACGUUUCCUCCUCCCAGAUCAUUUGCGGGCAACCAUCUACCAUUUAUUGGCUUCACUUAUUUCAAGGAGGACCAGCUGCUGAGCAGAACAAGUGGCAGAGCUGAGGAGGAAUCAGACGAAAAUUGUAAGGAUAAAGAAAAGUCUCUUAGCAUCAAGAAAGAGCUGCUGAGAAAGGUUAACCAGCUGGAGGAGCAGCUCAAUCAUGAGAUGCAGGCCAAAGAUGAAAUGGAGCAAAAGUGCAAAAGUGCCACCAUUCGUUUAGACAAGCUGGUCAAAGAAUUGGAUAAGGAGAUGAACAGUCGACUGACCGUUGAAGCCUCACUGAGGCAGCUGGAACGAGAGCAAGCUCUGCUGCAGCACCAAAGUGCAGAGAACCUCCGCAAGGUAGAGAUGGAAGCAGACAGGAAGCGCGUCCUGGAAAACGAAUUGAACAACUUAAGGGACCAGCUGGAAGACCUGAAGAAGAGGAACCAACACUCACAACUAUCUAAUGAGAAGAACAUCCAGCUGCAAAAACAACUUGAGGAGGCCAACAGUGCUCUGCAGGCCGAGCAGCAGGCAACGGCUCGGCUGAAGAAAAGCCAGGCGGAGGCGCAAAAACAAGCCCAGAGCCUCGAAGUCAGCCUAAGGGAGAUGGAGAAAAAGUGCAGCGGACUGGAAGUGAGCAAGGCGGAGCAGGAGAAGCAGAUGAGGGGGCUGCAAGUCAAGCUGGAGGAGGAGAGAAGAGAAUGCAACCUCAAGACAGAGACCCUCGCUGACCUGCAGGGAACCGUUUCAGUCCUAGAGGACGAAGUGAAGGAGGUGAAGUUGUCUCUUUCCAAGGUCAAAAGUGAAAAGAACGAGCUGCAGACAAAGCUAAAUAAUCUUGGAAAGGAAAAGAACAACCAAGAGAUUGACCUAACAUUCCAGCUCAAGUCACUCCAGCAGAGUCUGGAGCAGGAGGAGGCAGAGCACAAGGCCACCAAAGCAAAGAUCGCAGAUAAAAACAAAAUCUACCAGUCUAUUGAGGAGGCCAAAUCCGAGGCCCUAAAAGAGAUGGAAAGCACUCUGCAGGAGGAGCACAGCCUGAAGCUGCAGGUGGAAGAUAAGCUACUGCAACUAAAGAAGGAGUUCUUCAUGGUAGACUGCAAUCACAAGCAAGCGCAGCAAAAGCUGAACGAGUUGCAGACACAAAAGGAGAAACUUUCUGAAGAGGUGAUGGACCUCACGCUACGCCUGGAACAGGAGAUCCAAAAGCGAAGUUUGAGCCAGACCGAUCUGAAAGCACAGAAACAGCAGGUGUCUGCGCUCGCCUCCUCAGAGAAACAGCUCAAACAGGAACUCAACCAACUGCUGGACAUGAAGCAGAGCCUGGAGAAGCAGAACCAGGAGCUAAGCAGGGAAAAGCAAGAGGCUGAUGGCCAGCUGAAGGAACUGAUGGACCAGCUGGAGGCAGAGCAGUAUUUCACAACCCUUUACAAGACACAGAUCCAGGAGCUGAAGGUUGAAACUGAUGAGAAGAAUAAGAUGUUAAAAGAGGCACAGGAGCGACUGGCAGAAUACCAGGAGGAAAGGGAUUCUCUGGCAGCGCAGCUGGAAAGCAGUUUAACCAAAGCGGAUUCUGAGGAACUGGCUCGCUCUAUCGCCGAAGAGCAGUACUCGCUUCUGGAGAAGGAGAAGAUCAUUAAGGAGCUGGAGAUAAAGGACAUGAUGGCGAGACACAAACAGGAGCUCAGUGAUAAGGAGGCCACCAUCGGCUCGCUGGAGGAGUCCAACCGCACACUGACAGUGGACGUUGCCAACCUGGCCAGUGAGAAAGAAGAGCUCAACAACCAGCUGAAAGAGCUGCAGCAAGAACUCCAAAAAGUCAAAGAGCUAGAGAAGGAGAUGAAAAGUCUACAAGCAUUGUAUGAAAAGCAAGUACAAACUGAAAAGACUUUGAAGAUUCAGGCUAUAAACAAGCUGGCCGAGGUGAUGAACAAGAAGAAGGAGAUGGGGCGAGGGGUCGUCCGGGGUGUCGACUCCGAGGUGCACAAGAAGGAGAAGGAGAACAGGAAGCUGCAGCUGGAGCUGAAAGCAGAGAGGCAAAACCUUAACAGCAUCAUCAUCAAAUACCAGAAGGAACUGGAUGACAUGCAGGCGAUGAUGGUUGAGGAGAAUCACCUGCGUCAGGAGCUGCAGAUGGCUCUUGACAGUAAAGACAGCGACAUCGAGCAGCUUCGGUGUCAGCUCACCUCCCUUAGUGUUCACUCCCUGGACACCACCAGCAUCAACAGUGCCAACGAUUUGGAAAUUGCUGAUGGAUUCCCAGUGCGCAUUACUCACUCUCGCACCUCUGAGUCAAUGUCCUUCACCUACAAGCGCACGCAGAAAUCUUUCCGCAUUGAUACUCGGCCCAACCUUCGCUCAGCGAGGGCUCUGUUUGACUCAGAGUCUGAGGAUGAGGAAGAAGACGACCAGCCUGAGGAGCAGAGCCAGCGCCCUCUGGCUCUGACCUAUCCGCAGUCCUCUGAGCUUGAACCUGGAGAUCCCAGACUGGAAGGCUGGAUCUCACUUCCUUCCAAGAACACAAAGCGAUUUGGCUGGGACAAAAAAUACGUGGUUGUAAGCAGUAAGAAAAUCCUGUUUUACAACAGUGAGAUGGACAGAGAACAAGCCAACCCGUUCAUGACCCUGGACAUCGAAAAGCUGUUCCAUGUCCGACCCAUCACUCAAACUGAUUGUUACCGAGCAGAUGUCAAAGAAAUCCCUAGAAUAUUCCAGAUCUUGUAUGCCAAUGAGGGCGAGAGCAAACGUGACCAGGAGGCCGUGGUGGAGUCCGCGCCCAACGAACGCCCCUCUUACAUCAGCCACAAGGGCCACGAGCUCAUCAUCACCCUGUACCACUUCCCCUCCAGCUGUGAGGUCUGCACGCGGCCCCUGUGGAAUGUCUUCAAGCCUCCGACGGCCCUUGAAUGCCGCUGCUGCCAUACCAAGUACCACAAAGACCACCUGGACAAGAAAGAGGAAAUUAUUGCACCCUGCAAAGUGAACUACGAUAUGUCCACCGCCAAAGAGCUGCUCCUGCUGACCGGCUCCCAGACAGAACAGCAGCGUUGGGUCAGUCACCUCCUCAAGCGUAUCCCGAGAAAAAACCCAACACUAAGUCCUCCACCUGUAGCACCAAACAGCCCCAACGACUCUCCACCACAUUCUUCUCCACGUGUGUCUCCACUGCCUUCCCCCAGGACCUCUCCUCGCCUGUCCCACCGUCGUGCCAUCAAGAUCCAGUCCACCAGACUGCAGCAGUCGUCAGAGAAGUCCAGUCCUGGCCCUAUGCUCCGUAUCAUCCUCCACUGACCCCUGAACUCUUCACCUCUGACCCUACAUUUCUAAAAUUUCUUACACUUGGACACUUUAACCCCGGCUGUGUUUUCAUCCAAGUGGAUUGUCUGGACCCAGUUGCCUGCACGUAAAAAGCACAAAAAAAAGGAAAAAGAAAAGCAAAAUACAUGACAGAGAUUCUGAAAAACUGGCUGUUGUCAUGAGAACUGAGAUGGUUUUUGUCAUUUUUCACAAGAGGAAACUCAACCAUAUCUUCAUAAUGAGACUUUUUAUAUUCAGGAUUGGACUCAUUCAGAAUCAUUUGUGAAACGGUCCACUUCGUUGUGAACACUAAAAGCACAGCUGAUAUUAUAUUUUUAUGCGUAUUAUAUCGCCACAUUAUACAGGGUGUCCUGUAAAUGUGUGAAUAGAGUUUUAGAGAGAGAGAGUUUACCCUUUUUGAGCCUUGAUGUUUUGGACUAGUUUUGUCACUAUAAAUAUAGCCAUCACAGCAUUACAGGAUAAUGUGAAAUGUAUUUCUUCUUGCAGUUCAUUAUUUGGGACAUUAAAAAAAACAUACAAAACA